AGAGUUUGAUCCUGGCUCAGGAUGAACGCUGGCGGCGUGCCUAACACAUGCAAGUCGAGCGAGAUUUAGUGGAGUGGAGACUUCGGUCAAAGUGAAGCUAAUUUUAGCGGCGGACGGGUGAGUAACGCGUGAGCAACCUGCCCUGUACAGGGGGAUAGCCACUGGAAACGGUGAUUAAUACCCCAUAAACCCACAAGACCGCAUGGUCAAAUGGGCAAAGUUCCAACGGUACAGGAUGGGCUCGCGUCUGAUUAGCUAGUUGGUGAGGUAACGGCUCACCAAGGCGACGAUCAGUAGCCGACCUGAGAGGGUGAACGGCCACACUGGGACUGAGACACGGCCCAGACUCCUACGGGAGGCAGCAGUGGGGAAUAUUGGGCAAUGGGCGAAAGCCUGACCCAGCAACGCCGCGUGAGGGAAGAAGGUCUUCGGAUUGUAAACCUCUGUCCUUGGGGACGAAAAAAAUGACGGUACCUUACCAGAAAGCCACGGCUAACUACGUGCCAGCAGCCGCGGUAAUACGUAGGGGGCAAGCGUUAUCCGGAAUCACUGGGCGUAAAGGGUGCGUAGGCGGCUGAUCAAGCCAGGGGUGAAAGGCAAUAGCUUAACUAUUGUGAGCCUUUGGAACUGGUCAGCUUGAGUGCAGGAGAGGGCAAUGGAAUUCCAUGUGUAGCGGUAAAAUGCGUAGAUAUAUGGAGGAACACCAGUGGCGAAGGCGGUUGCCUGGCCUGUAACUGACGCUGAGGCUCGAAAGCGUGGGGAGCAAAUAGGAUUAGAUACCCUAGUAGUCCACGCUGUAAACGAUGAUUACUAAGUGUUGGAGCAAGAAAUUCAGUGCUGCAGUUAACGCAAUAAGUAUUCCGCCUGGGGAGUAUGCACGCAAGUGUGAAACUCAAAGGAAUUGACGGGACCCCGCACAAGCGGUGGAUUAUGUUGUUUAAUUCGACGCAACGCGAAGAACCUUACCAGGUCUUGACAUCCCUCUGAAUGGCGCUUAGCAGCGCAGGUCUUUCGGGACAGAGGAGACAGGUGGUGCAUGGUUGUCGUCAGCUCGUGUCGUGAGAUGUUGGGUUAAGUCCCGCAACGAGCGCAACCCUUGCCUUUAGUUGCCAGCACGUAAAGGUGGGCACUCUAGAGGGACUGCCGGUGACAAACCGGAGGAAGGUGGGGAUGACGUCAAAUCAUCAUGCCCCUUAUGAUCUGGGCUACACACGUGCUACAAUGGCCGGUACAACGAGAAGCGAAACCGCGAGGUGAAGCAAAUCUUUUAAAGCCGGUCCCAGUUCGGAUUGCAGGCUGAAACUCGCCUGCAUGAAGUUGGAGUUGCUAGUAAUCGCGGAUCAGCAUGCCGUGGUGAAUGCGUUCCCGGGUCUUGUACACACCGCCCGUCACACCAUGGAAGUUGGGGGGACCCGAAGCCAGUGAUCCAACCGUAAGGAGGAAGCUGUCGAAGGUAAAACCAAUGACUGGGGUGAAGUCGUAACAAGGUAACC
rnacentral:rRNA from 1 species